AUGCAAUUGAGUCUGAAGAGUUGUAGAUGGUCAUUUUGAAAUUGAUUUCACUGAAAGAAGUAGAGAAGUUGUGAUAUGAAUUCCGAGGCCCUUCAAGUAGCCACGAUAUAGGACUGUUGCUUGAAGAACUGCAAUGGCACACAUGAUGGGAGAAUAGACGUGAUGAUUCAGAAAUUCCAGGAUCAGUAGAAUUUUUAAGUGGCCGAGUGAUCAAUAUAAAGUCCACGGGAUUUAGGUCCUGGUUUGAAGUUCCUUG
rnacentral:misc_RNA from 1 species